rnacentral:lncRNA from 1 species
CCCAUGCUUUUGCUGUGGAUAGCAGAGUUCAGCUCUGGUCCUCACCCACAACUAACCUAAUUUUGAAUGUACAUAAUGUUUCUACUUUCCAAAGGACUCAGCUAAGGGUCAGGUACUAUAGGAAUAUUUUACAGUUUAGUUUAGAUUCGUUUAGAAAAGGAGCUUGCUUCACUUCGCUCAGGGCAUAAGUGUUCUCAAGACUUUUGGGACCUGGUGGAUUGAAGACAUGGUUUUGCUGGCUGUUUGAUUCCAUUUUGGACACAGGGCAGUAAGGAAAGAAUGAUUCAUUUUGACUGUGAUUGCUGGGAAAGAUAUCUUGAAAUGGAGACUGUGAGUAGUGGAUGAAGUUUUGUGUUUGCUCUACUGACCUGAAGUGAGGAACAACCACAUACAUCUUUGUCUUCACUCUGUCCAGCUGUCAACUGCAUUGUUCCCUCACGUCUUCCUGCAAAGUACCAUUAUUUCCACACCUUAAGAAUUAAAGAGUGAAGAGAAAACGACAAAAUGUUCUUGUUUAUCAGGAGAUGGGGGUGAGCUGAGCUUUCCACAAGGUCCUGAAUGGAUGAGAAGGACCCAAAACAUAUGGAAAAUAUGGAGAAUAGGGUAUAAGUAAUAAAAAUAAAAAUAAAAUAAAUAAAAUAAAUUGGGAAU